UAAAUACUAAUACCAGAUCGAUAGUGCACAAGUACCGUGAGGGAAAGGUGAAAAGAACUGAGGUGAUCAGAGUGAAAUAGAACCUGAAACCAUUUGCUUACAAUCAUUCAGAGCCCUAUGUAGCAAUACAGGGUGAUGGACUGCCUUUUGCAUAAUGAGCCUGCGAGUUGUGGUGUCUGGCAAGGUUAAGCAAACGCGAAGCCGUAGCGAAAGCGAGUCUGAAUAGGGCGCUUAGUCAGAUGCUGCAGACCCGAAACGAAGUGAUCUAUCCAUGAGCAAGUUGAAGCUAGUGUAAGAACUAGUGGAGGACUGAACCCAUAGGCGUUGAAAAGCCCCGGGAUGACUUGUGGAUAGGGGUGAAAGGCCAAUCAAACUUCGUGAUAGCUGGUUCUCUCCGAAAUAUAUUUAGGUAUAGCGUUGUGUCGUAAUAUAAGGGGGUAGAGCACUGAAUGGGCUAGGGCAUACACCAAUGUACCAAACCCUAUCAAACUCCGAAUACCUUAUAUGUAAUCACAGCAGUCAGGCGGCGAGUGAUAAAAUCCGUCGUCAAGAGGGAAACAACCCAG
rnacentral:rRNA from 1 species